AAUUAAAAUUUAAAUUGACGUCAAAUAAGCCAAUUUAAAUUGUCUUUUAAUUUUUAGAAAGUGAUAGACUUGUGAAUUUUACUAAUCACAUCAAUAUGACUAGUUAAGACAUUUCCGUCCUAGCUAGGAUGGAUGAGAUGGAUAUUAUACAUCAUCUUUGGGUUGUAUAAAUAUGAGUAGCAUUGUUCUUCUAAAUAGAAAAUGUUUUUUAUUUUAGAGAAAGGUAGCAUACUAUCUGCUUCGUUUAUUUUUUUAGAAAUAAAUUUAGUUGAAAAUAUAUUACAUUAGGAUUCGAACUUGAAACCUCGGGUACCAACCACCCAGCAUUUUGUCAUUUGUGUUAGGGACAAUCGAUUCUAAAUAGAAAAUGCUACUUGUACACUCCAAAAGGAUGUGUGAUAUACAACCUACUCAUUUAUGGUGAGAUAAAUUUUACUAGUCAUAUUGAUGUCACUAGUAAAGAAGUUUCUGUUCUAGAAUAAAUGAGAUGUAUAUCAUAUAUCUUUUUUUGAAAUGUAUUAGUAUUGCUCAUUCUAUAUUGGCACAUUUGGAUGA
rnacentral:lncRNA from 1 species